rnacentral:rRNA from 1 species
GACGAACGCUGGCGGCGUGCUUAACACAUGCAAGUCGAACGGAAGGGCCUGGCUUUGUGGGGUUCUCGGGGGGCGAACGGGGGAGUAACACGGGAGUUACCUGCCCUUGACUUUGGGAUUACUUUAGGAAACCGGGGCUAAUACCGGAAAGGAGCUCCUGCUGCAUGGGGGGGGGUGGGAAGUUUCGGCGGUUGGGGAUGGACUCGCGGCUUAUCAGCUUGUUGGUGGGGUAGUGGCUUACCAAGGCUUUGACGGGUAGCCGGCCUGAGAGGGUGACCGGCCACAUUGGGACUGAGAUACGGCCCAGACUCCUACGGGAGGCAGCAGUGGGGAAUAUUGCACAAUGGGCGGAAGCCUGAUGCAGCAACGCCGCGUGCGGGAUGACGGCCUUCGGGUUGUAAACCGCUUUCGCCUGUGACGAAGCGUGAGUGACGGUAAUGGGUAAAGAAGCACCGGCUAACUAUGUG